AAGGAUGAACUUGUCACCAUUUAGCCCUCUACAUAAUCCAAUCAUGCCAGGGGCGUAGUGCAGGCCACACCUGGUCUUUCUCUUAUACAUAACAUAACAUAACAUACAUAUUCCAUGGUGCCGGGGGCGUAGUCCAGGCCACUUCCGGUCUUUCUCUUACAUAGUGCCAGGGGCGUAGUGCAGGCCACAUCUGGACUUCCAUAUCAUAUCAUCAUGUCAUAACAUGUGAGGGCUAAUGGAUCAUUCAACAUUCAUCCACAUCAACAACAUAUUAUGCAAUGCAACAUAUUCGUGAUUUCUAAUGCAUACAACCUAAAAUAUCACAUGGCAUCCGUGAUGCAUGAACAUGCUCAAAACUGAUUUAUU
rnacentral:lncRNA from 1 species